GACGUAGGGCGCAAGCGUUUGUCCGGAUUUAUUGGGCGUGAAGAGCUCGUAGGCGGCUUGUCGCGUCGACUGUGAAAACCCGCGGCUCAACUGCGGGCUUGCAGCUGAUACGGGCAGGCUAGAGUUCGGUAGGGGAGACUGGAAUUCCUGGUGUAGCGGUGAAAUGCGCAGAUAUCAGGAGGAACACCGGUGGCGAAGGCGGGUCUCUGGGCCGAUACUGACGCUGAGGAGCGAAAGCGUGGGGAGCGAACAGG
rnacentral:rRNA from 1 species